rnacentral:rRNA from 1 species
UACGGAGGGUGCGAGCGUUGUCCGGAAUCACUGGGCGUAAAGGGCGCGUAGGCGGCAUGCCAAGCGUGUGGUGAAAGCCCGGGGCUCAACCCCGGGUCGGCCGUGCGGACUGGCGUGCUCGAGCACUGUAGGGGCGGUGGAAUCCGGGUGUAGCGGUGGAAUGCGUAGAGAUCCGGAAGAACACCGGUGGCGAAGGCGGCCCGCUGGGCAGGAAGACACCGCCAAGGUGUCGGCUGACGCUGAGGCGCGACAGCGUGGGGAGCAAACAGG